rnacentral:rRNA from 1 species
AUUGAACGCUGGCGGCAGGCCUAACACAUGCAAGUCGAACGAGUGGCGGACGGGUGAGUAAUGUCUGGGAAACGGCCCGAUGGAGGGGGAUAACUACUGGACACGGUAGCUAAUACCGCAUAGCAUCGGAUGGGCCCAGGUGGGAUUAGCUAGUAGGGGGGGUAACGGCUCACCAAGGCGACGAUCCCUAGCUGGUCUGAGAGGAUGACCAGCCACACUGGAACUGAGACACGGUCCAGACUCCUACGGGAGGCAGCAGUGGGGAAUAUGGCACAAUGGGCGCAAGCCUGAUGCAGCCAUGCCGCGUGUAUGAAGAAGGCCUUCGGGUUGUAAAGUACUUUCAGCGAGGAGGCGUUACUCGCAGAAGAAGCACCGGCUAACUCCGUGCCAGCAGCCGCGGUAAUAC